UACGAAGGGUGCAAGCGUUACUCGGAAUUACUGGGCGUAAAGCGUGCGUAGGUGGUUUGUUAAGUCUGUUGUGAAAGCCCCGGGCUCAACCUGGGAAUGGCAAUGGAUACUGGCAGGCUAGAGUGCGGUAGAGGGCAGUGGAAUUCCCGGUGUAGCGGUGAAAUGCGUAGAGAUCGGGAGGAACACCAGUGGCGAAGGCGGCUACCUGGACCAGCACUGACACUGAGGCACGAAAGCGUGGGGAGCAAACAGG
rnacentral:rRNA from 1 species